rnacentral:rRNA from 1 species
AUUGAACGCUGGCGGCAGGCCUAACACAUGCAAGUCGAACGAGUGGCGGACGGGUGAGUAAUGUGUGGGAAUCUACCCUAUGGAGGGGGAUAACUACGGGAAACUGUAGCUAAUACCGCAUCCCAUAGGAUGAGCCCAGAUGGGAUUAGGUAGUUGGUGGGGUAAAGGCUCACCUAGGCGACGAUCUCUAGCUGGUCUGAGAGGAUGACCAGCCACACUGGGACUGAGACACUGCCCAGACUCCUACGGGAGGCAGCAGUGGGGAAUAUUGCGCAAUGGGCGCAAGCCUGAUGCAGCCAUGCCGCGUGUAUGAAGAAGGCCUUAGGGUUGUAAAGUUCUUUCAGUAGGGAGGCGUUACCUACAGAAGAAGCACCGGCUAACUCCGUGCCAGCAGCCGCGGUAAUUC